GGCAAUUUCGGAUUUAUAUAGUGACAUGAGAUAGAUAU
rnacentral:guide_RNA from 1 species